rnacentral:rRNA from 1 species
GACGAACGCUGGCGGCGUGCUUAACACAUGCAAGUCGAGCGGAAAGGCCCUUCGGGGUACUCGAGCGGCGAACGGGUGGGUAACACGUGAGUAAUCUGCCUCUGGCUCUGGGAUAGCCACCGGAAACGGUGAUUAAUACCGGAUAUGACACCACCCUGCAUGGGGUGGUGUGGAAAGUUUUUUCGGCCAGGGAUGUGCUCGCGGCCUGUCAGCUUGUUGGUGGGGUAAUGGCCUACCAAGGCUUCGACGGGUAGCCGGCCUGAGAGGGUGACGGGCCACACAGGGGCUGAGCCCCGGCACGGACUCCUACGGGAGGACGCAGUGGGGGAUAUUGGACAAUGGGCGGAAGCCUGAUCCAGCAACGCCGGGUGCGGGCUGACGGCCUUCGGGUUGUAAACCUCUUUCAGUACCGACGAAGCGCCGAUGAUGGUGGUGAGGGUUGGUACAGAAGAAGCACCGGCCAACUACGUGCCAGCAGCAGCCGCCGUAA